UGCAGUUUUAGUGCCCAACCUAGGGCUGUCCAGGGGCUGGCCAGUGCUCACUUCAGAGCUGCUGAAAGGGGGAGAUCCUGGGACCCAGAUCUGACAGAAGCUGGCAGAAGUUAAGAGUUCUUACCAUGUCAGUCUCCAAAAUCUGUCUGCCGGGUCUGUUGAAAGUGAAAAAGUUGGAUUUAUGGGAAGCCAUAUAGUCAUACAAGGACUGCUGCAUACAGAGGUGGAGUACUGGAUCUUACCAUAUAUAGUGCAAGAAGUCAACUCAUGUUUUCAACAAUCUGCCCAAGGUCACAAGUUCACUAGGACUCCAAGGUGAAGCCCUCAAAAGCUCUAGAAGUCUACCCAUCUACUGACCCCAGGAACAGACAGACAAUGACUCUCUUUCUGCUACUGUAAGACUUUAUUCUUUUUCAAGUUCUCAUUUCUUGACCACUGACUCUGUGUCAAGUGUUGGGUUAAGCGCUUCAAAUGUGGUAUCUCAUGGAAUCAUCAUUACCAUGCUGUGAGGCUGUUGUUACUAUUGGCCUUAUCAUAAUCCCUUCUGGA